CAUCGAUUGUUACUUGGAAUAGCUAGCUUGUGCGUAAUUAGAGGUUCUUCACUGAAUUUUCUUGUGAAAAUCCAAGUUUUGGGAUAAAGUGAGAUCGUCUAUUGUUUCAAUAUUGCUAGUUUGUUUGUUGGAAUAGCAAUAUUACCCUUGUGGGGAUUAAACACGUACUUCUGCUACGACGAGGAGCAUUCAAUUUUAAAGGCCGCCUAACAACUUGAGGCCUUUUUCUUUUCCUGUCUACGUACAUUUUCAUCCUCUAAUUUCCCUCUGCGAGUAUAAGAGUUUUGUGGAUUUUGGAUCGUCCCGUUUGAACGGAACAUCGGAAAUAUCGUAGUUUCAAUCUGAAGGAAAAAGGAGGAAAACAACUUGAGGAGGAUUUUCGACAUCGUGGAUUGGUUGAGAUCUUUGAAUUGGUAAUUUCAUCAUUCGAUUGGAAAUUCCUGGUAUGUACAGAGAAUUUUUCUGACAUUGACGUCAAGGAAGCCAUUUGUGAAAAGUGGACAUAUUGUUCAUGUGACAUCUGAAUUUACGUCUUUCUCAUAUUAAUUUGAUCAAGUCAAUCAAUUAUGGUCACCUUUUGAAAUAAUAAUAGGGAGUUUAGAUAUUAAUUUGUCCUUACAUUCAUUCAGGAAAUUUCAGACUUAAUUUUAUUCCAUACAUAGACUGUUUACUGUUUCACAGUUAGAGUGAAUUUGAAAGGACAAUAUCUCAACAUAUAUAUUUAUUCCAUCUAUAAGCAUUUUAACACAGCAAGUACAUUUCUUAAUACUGUGUAUUUGUGUGUAAAUAAUACGUAAUAAUAUAUAUUACAUGAAUACAUAAGUAUUUAUAAGUACAUGAUAUAAUACAUUAUUUUCCAUCUUUAAUAAAUUUAUGAACUGAAGUGAAAUUCUGAUAGAACUGUUAUCUAGUUGUUAUAUAGUGUGUACCAUAAUUUGUACGAAAGUAUUUUGGGAACUACGCUUGAUCAAGCAUAGGGAAAAGUGUUUGUACAUUAGGUUCAUAAUCGUUCAGAAAACAAUAAUUGUAGGGAAUAGAUAAUAGAAUCUCACAUCGGAAUAUCGCUUUAUUAUUUCUAUAAUUUUUGAAAUUACACCUUUCAUGAGAUA